UUUUUCAUCAGUUAUAAAUUCUUAAAUUAAUUUAUCGAAGUUAUAAUAGAAAUUGCAUAGAAAUACCAAAGAUCGUAAAUUCAUGAGUUUAUAGCAAAGAUAAGAUAUAUAAAAUCCACGUUUAAUUUGCAAAAUUCUUUUUGCAGACACACCUAUGAAAUAAUGGUAAAUUAAAAAAAAAAAGAAAAAAAGAAAUCUAUUAACAAGUGUACUAUAUAUACCAAGCAUACUUGCUGUUAAUUUGACAUUUAGAUGAUUGCAUGCAGAUUAUAUUUUCUGUUACAAUAUUUAACAAUCUAUUAUAAGCCAAUUCACGCGUCACUUGUAUGAAUUUCUAUUAUAUCAAUCAUCUCUUAAUACCAGCAAUCACUUCCAAUCAGUAUCAUCUUAAUUAAGUAAUGGCAAAUCGAUGCUUUGAGACGAUUGAACGUUACACUUAAUACUCCUAAAAAAAUAUUUAUUAUUCUUUUCUCAUUUCAAGGAAAUAAGAAGGAUUCUACACUGAAAAAAUAUUUAUCAAAAAGAAAGAAAUAAGAAUUGAUCAAAUAUUUCUGAUUCACAUUCGCAUAUACACACAUAUAAAAAUAGUUUCAAGACAAGUGAAAUUAUUUUUGCAACGAAAAUAUAUAUCCUACGAAAAAGUGUUUCAAGAAUAGAAAGAGAUAUUUCUCGAUUUCUUUUACACUAAAUUUUUCCAUUUAUUUUUAUUCAUCAGUGGUGUAAUCGAUAGAAAACAGAGCCAUGCUGUAACUUGGUAUUUUCAAACUUGAGUUACUUGGUAUAAUCACACGGUUAUAGAUUGAAGUCUAAUCUUUAAUUAAUUCUAAUAAUAGAUCAUCGUCUUUGAUAAAUUUUUUCUAUCAAUUUUUUUUUUUAUAUAUGAAAUAAAUUUUUUAAAAUUCGAAAACUCUGAAUGAGUUUUACACUUGUGCAUUACACUUGGUAUAUCUUGGAUUCGUUAUGCUCGAUUGUGAGUAGAUAUAAUACCUGAUACGACCUUAAGUUCCUGUCGUGGCCUGGAUAAGUAUUGUGCAACAUGUUAAUCAAAAGCGGCAUGUAAUCCCGAGCCUAUUUACAAAGAAAUAUCCAACGUCAUGGCGAUCUUAAGAAAAUUAAAGAGUUGUAGAGUUGAUUUGCCCUUGAAAUGGAACAUUCGUAUUUACAGUGGUGCUAUUUACAGCCAAAAUAACUCGCUAUGGAACAAAACCAAUACGACGUUUGGAUGGCCUUUAAGAGAUCUAAUAAUAAACUACGUACACGCCUUAAAGAAAUGACAAUACCAAAUUUUCAUGCAAACGACUCGAAUUUCGUAUUUACAUGGAUGCAAAUGGAUGAUGAUAAUUUUUCGAAAAUUACUCGCUUUCUAAAUCAGAAAUUUGGAAAGUAUGCCUCGAUAAGUAUGACUAAUCGUGAUUUACGUGCCGAUCCAAUCGCGCGAACACGUAUCGACCAAUGAUAUCUCGUUUCAGAAGGAAGGAAAAUAUUUUCCAUUCACGCGAUAAGAAAUAAAAUCGAAACGAUUAACUAUUAUUUAUAUAACGGAAGAAUAUGCAAUGUUCCAAAACAACAGUUUUGAUGGAUAAAAUAGUAAAUUUGCCGUACAACUGUUUAAACGACAAACAGUUAAGGAAGAAAAUGAAUGGAUAAAAGUAACUAGUUGUAGGAUUGUCACUAGAUGUAGUGUGUCGACCAAUCAAUAUCGUCCUAACAUUUUCGUUUGUGAAUUUUUUUCUGAACUGAAUCUGCUUGAAUCUCUCUCUUUCUUCUUAUUCAUAUAUUAUAAUCAGAGGAACGAAUAAUUUUGUAAAAUUGGACAUUUUAGGUUAACGUACACUUAUUUACCAAUUUAAUUUUACGAUAAGAUGUACGAUUUUAAAAAUAAUAAUUUACUAUAGAAAUUGAACUUUCAAUACGGAUAUAAUCGUAAAAAUAUAAUUAUUAAUCGUUAAAUGUGAAGUUAUAUAUGUUAUUAUGCUUCCACAAAUCGGCAAGUAAAGUAUCUAUCCUCGAAAUAUAUUACACUUGCCCACUUGUUUAUUACUGUUAAAAAAGUUUCAAUUUUAUUAUCAAUUCUUUCGACGCAUUAAUACUUCCUAUCUGUAAAAAACAUAAUUUUAUAUUUUAUAUUUUGUAUUAAAUUGAAACGUGUAAAUUCAAUCGGAUCGGAUUAUUUUAUAUUUUCUUAUGUUAUAAGAUCAACUUAAUUUAUUAAUGCAUUUCAUGUGUUAAUUCCAUUUCAGAGAGAGAGAGAGAGAGACGAGGAAAUGUGCGAUAACCUAUUAGCAUUUAUCCACGAAGGAAAACAAAACCGUUCUCUUCCACCCCAUCGAGUGACCCUGCCUGUCUCGAGAUCAAAGAGAGAUUCCACACCAUUCUCUAGGCAUUCUCUUUCAGAUUUUUGUAAAAAUAUGGGUUAUAUGCAUCCAUGAGUUUUGGAAGAGAGAGAGAGAGAGAGAUAAGAAUAAAAUUACAUUUACACAAUUGAGUAUAAAUAGAUUGUUCGCUCGAGUUACAAAGAAAGUGUAGUUAAGUAUAAAAUACAUAAAUGGCCAUGUUACGUACAUACGUAUUAUCAAGAAACUAGAUUUAGAUCGACAUCAAAAUUGUUGUAGUUAUCCUAUUGUAUCACGCGAUAAGAAGCUUUCUGAUUACUGAUUAACGUUUUCCUCUUAAAACGAAAUUUCAGAGAUUGAUACACUAUCAUCUAACCAGCUAUCAGAUAAUUUAUUUAAAACAAACAUCAAUUUAUUUAAAAAAAUUCUCAGAUAAUCCAAACUAUAUAUAUUGAUUUCUUUCAAGAUCUACAAUGGAUUAACAAUGGAUAGAAGUAUUUAUUAAAGAGAAAAGAAAUUUUCAGUUCUGAAUUAUUCAAAUUGAUUUCUUUCUUUUGAGAUUUAUGUAUUCUUUAGCAGAGAUUGAUACACUAUCAUCAACAUCAGAUAACUUAUUUAAAACAAAUAUUAAUUUAUUUAAAAAAAUUCUCAGAUAAUCCAAAUUAUAUGCACUGAUUUCUUUCAAGAUCUACAAUGGAUUAACAAUAGAUGGAAAUAUUUAUUAAAAAGAAAAGAAAUUCUCAGUUCUGAAUUAUUCAAAUUGAUUUCUUUCUUUUGAGAUCUACGUAUUCUUCAGCAGAGAUUGAUACACUAUCAUCAACAUCAGAUAACUUAUUUAAAACAAACAUCAAUUUAUUUAAAAAAAUUCUCAGAUAAUCCAAACUAUAUACACUGAUUUCUUUCAAGAUCUACAAUCAUUAACAAAGGAUAGAAAUAUUUAUUAAAAAAAAAGAAAAGAAAUUCUCAGUUUCUGAAUUAUUCACAUUGAUUUCUUUCUUUUGAGAUCUACAUAUUCUUCAGCAGAGAUUGAUACACUAUCAUCAACAUCUAACCAGCCAUCAGAUAAUUUAUUUAAAAAAAUUCUCAGAUAAUCCAAAUUAUUCUUUCAAGAUCUACAAUCACGUAACAAAGGAUAGAAAUAUUUAUUAAAAAGAAAAGAAAUUCUCAAUCUUUCUGAAUUAUUCACAUGAUGAUUUCUUUCUUUUGAGAUCUAUGUAUAUCCAUCAACGAAUAACCCAGAAGCAAGAUUUCUCAAGAGAAUGAAGGCCAGCUUCCGUAGAAGGCUGAGUGUGAAACCACGUGUUCUCUUACCUCCUAAAUUCCGAUCUUUCGUUAUGGUAUCCCAGUAUCCUUGAAACGGCAAAAGUAUCCUUGAACGGUUCACCAAUGUGCACUCGAAAGUAUGUACAGAAGGAGAGAACUGUCUCUGAGGAAAUGUUUAUUUUAUCGAUACUUGUGCAUCGAUGGUAGGCAAAAGGAGAGAGAGAGAGAGAGAGAGAGAUGGUGUAACACUUUGGAAGGUCGGUGGCAAGUUGAAAGAGUGGAGGUCAGUUUGAAGACGCGCGCGAGGAUGAAUCGACGACGAUCGAACGGGCGUAAGAUACGAUCUAUCGUAGCCUGAGGCCGAGUUAGGACUGUGGACUCUGACGGACCGCGGCCGAGAGAACGUAGCCAGCGAGCAGGGCUGCCAACUCUGGCCCCGCUCUCUCGCGGACCCCACCACGCGAUGCACACGCUCUUGGUAGCGAUAGGUGUGCGCGAUCUGUCUCGAAGGGAACCGGUGAAAUCGUACCAACGCGAGCAACGCCGAUCUCUUAUGAGGGCGCUCGGAAGAAUCUCUCGGUUCGAGGGAAGACAAAUCAAAAGGAAAUCUAAUAUCGUCGAAAUUACACUAGUUGUCCAUGGCGGUUGUUAUAGAUAUGCCUUGCGUAACACUUUAUUAUAGAUGCAAAAAUUUAAAGACAAAAGCUAACCUCAUUGCGAAUCGUGUUACGAAUAAAUGUAAAGUUACAAAUAAUAUGAUUAUAUCAUUGAUGGCAUACAGUUGAUUUGAAUAAUUGGCACCGAAUCUUCAAGUUGGAAAUAUGCAGUUCGAUAAAAUGGUCCACGCAAAGAUAUUACGUUACGCCCACGCAAUAAACGGCGUUAACACGAGAAUGUUAAGAGUUAAUGGACCAACUUCCCGGACACGACGAGUUUCAACGGCCGUAGCGAAUCCUCUGGCAAUGACAUUGACAAAACUGUCAUUUCUCGUCGAUCAAACAGACACCUGUAUUUUUAUUCAAAUAAUCAAAUUAUUGUAAAAUGUUUAAUCUCAAAGAUAUUAAACAAUGUUUGCAUAAAACAUAUAAAAUAUGUUUGAUAUUGAUCAAUUAUUAAAUUGAUGAUAUUAAAAUUUAUUUAAUAUUUUAA